rnacentral:rRNA from 1 species
GAAUCUUCCGCAAUGGGCGCAAGCCUGACGGAGUGACGCCGCGUGGGGGACGAAGGCCUUCGGGUCGUAAACCCCUGUCAGAGGGAAAGAAGGGUCAUGCGGUGAACAGCCGCGUGGCUUGACGGUACCUUCCGAGGAAGCCCCGGCCAACUCUGUUCCAGCCGCCGCGGUAAGACAGAGGGGGCAAGCGUUGCUCGGAGUCACUGGGCGUAAAGGGCGCGUAGGCGGGACGGCAAGUCGGUCGUGAAAGCCCUCGGCUCAACCGAGGAGAGUCGGCCGAGACUGCCGUUCUUGAGGGAUGCAGAGGAGACUGGAAUUCCCGGUGUAGCGGUGAAAUGUGUAGAGAUCGGGAGGAACACCGGUGGCGAAGGCGGGUCUCUGGGCAUCUCCUGACGCUGAGGCGCGAAAGCGUGGGGAGCAAACAGG